rnacentral:lncRNA from 1 species
CUAAAUUACUCCAACUGAAAAAGAUUCCGGGCAUAUUUCUACUGUACUAAGUGCUCUCUUGACUGUUAUCUUCAAAAAGUAAAUUCCUUCGCGACUUGCAACUGGUCCACCUUAAAGGGCAAGAGAAACUUAAUGUUCUUCUGACCAGAGAGCCUCUUUUUGAAAUUUUCUAUAACCAAAGUCAACAGUGAUAAGGAUUCAAACU